CCUGCCUCUAGAGGCUUUGCAGGAGUGGCCGCUGUGUCCUACUUACAUCAGUAGGUGGCAGAGAGGAGAGAGACUAUGUCUACGCUCAGUAUUCUGACCUUUGAACAUCUGAAUGAUUAGUAGCUCCACAUU
ensembl:snoRNA Gm25501 predicted gene, 25501